AAAGUACUCCCUCCGUCCCAAAAUUCUUGUCUUAGAUUUGUCUAGAUACGGAUAUAUCAAGUCACAUUUUAGUAUUAGAUACAUCCGUAUAUAGACAAAUCUAAGACAAGAAAUUUGGGACAGAGGGAGUAGUUG
rnacentral:pre_miRNA from 1 species